GCAAGGCUUGCAUUUUGAGUCGAAUAAAUCCAUAACCCAGCUUAUUGGAAUUUUGAGACCAAGUUUCCUAACUAUAGAUCAAAUGGGUAUCACAGGACAAGCACCACAUUUAGUCAUUCUACAAAUCAACUUGCAUGAAGAAAGCACCAUUCAUUAUCGUCACCACCAUCCAAUGGACAGAGCAAAUAAAUAAAUCCAUAGUAUUUAAAGGUAUAAAAUCCA
rnacentral:misc_RNA from 1 species